rnacentral:misc_RNA from 2 species
AACGCAUCUUGCGCUCCUUGGUAUUCCGAGGAGCAUGCCUGUUUGAGUGUCAUUAAAUUCUGUCAAAACAUGCACUUGAGUGUGUGUUUUGGAUUGUGGGAGUGUCUGCUGGCUUAUUCUAUAUAUGAGCCGGCUCUCCUGAAAAACAUUAGCUUUGGGGGGAUGUGCCAAGUCACUUCUGCCUUUCCAUUGGUGUGAUAGAUGAAUAAACUUAUCUACGCCAGGAAAGCAGGUUGCAGGUGAAGCACAGUGAUCUCUCUGCUCUCUAAUUGACAUUUGUCUGAUAACUUGACCUCAAAUCAGGUAGGACUACCCGCUGAACUUAA